rnacentral:tRNA from 1 species
UGGAGGAAUACCCAAGUCCGGCUGAAGGGAUCGGUCUUGAAAACCGACAGGGCCUUAACGGGCCGCGGGGGUUCGAAUCCCUCUUCCUCCGUUUU